CCGAGAUGUUGGCUCUGGCUGACAACUUCACACUUUGUGGACUGAAUUGUUGCUUCGGCGGGACACCGCAAGGUCGUUGGCGAAAGCGAACGAGCGCCCGCCGAUGUUUUACACUUUUUACCUGCUGUCAGUUUUUAAACAAAAAAUCA
rnacentral:misc_RNA from 1 species